CUUUCUUCUCCCACACUCCGAGCCGGGCGCCCUGCUGCAGCCCCUCCAGGCCGCGAAGCCGCUAGCACUCUGCCUAGUGCCGGAAUGUCUUGAGCUGCCGCCACAGCAGCUUCCCCGCUCCCACCGUCAAGCUGAGCCGCACCGCACAGGGACCCAGAGCUCCGGCAGCUGCCUCCCAGACACCCCGCUCACUGGCUCGCCUGCCGCUGACCUCACUGGAAUCGCUCAUGCCCACCGCCGGCCUCGCCUGGGGGUUCUUUAUUAUAGGGGUGCCUGCUGGUGCCAUGGUAACCCCUAAUUAAGGCGCCGCUUUUGAAAAAUGUGCUGAGGGGAAGCGGCUGCUUCCCCUGCACUCCGCUAGCUACACUACUGCCUGUGUGUCAUGCUUGCUCAGGGACAGCAGGCAUGGUUACCAGGACCAAAGGCAGAGACACAUGCUCACAGGGGAAGUGACAUCUGGCUUAUGCUAAGUACAAGCCGCUAUCCAUGUGGGGCGAGGGAAGGCCCAGAUAAGGAUCAGACCUGCACAAUUUCCAUCAGCAACUGUGGUGGACCUGUUGGGUCCCUCUCUGCCCGGAAUGACUGGAAGGAGUGCAUGUCAUUCAAGCAGGGAAGGAAGGUACAAAUCCUCACAUCCAUUUUCUGCCAUCUCAGAGCAGGAAGCUGGAUGCUGGGCACUCACGUGCUACCAGCUGGGACCUGUGUGUCACUUCUCUCUGAACAGAGUGCCUUGAACAAUCUGGAAGUAGAACCUAGAUACAACCCCCUUCAUGUGAAAAGCAACCUCUACAAAUACCUGGUGAGCGAGUUCUCCAGACCCCAGUACCGGCAGCAGGCCCAGUCCAAGGAGCAUCACCCAGGAGAGCGGCAUCACUCCAAACAGCACCUGAGCAAAGCCAAGGCCACGGUAGCUCCCCUUCCUCUGGCUCCCCCGCCGCCCAAAGCAUUCCGAUCAUCUGCUGCAAGGAAGGACGCCUGUGAGCUCGCUCUCUUCUCCAAUGAAGACAGUGAAUUCCUGGGGAGCGUGUAAUGACAAGGGCCUUUCUCUAUUACAAGCCCAAGUGUUGUGAGACACCCCCCCACACACACACACGCUGUCCUACCCCGGCGCACACGCACAGCAGGCCCCCAUGCACACAUUCAUAUCACUAGGCACUCACAGCUCAGCCUGUUGCUGGCCCCAAUGCUUGCCAAGCACCACAGGUGCCAGCACAGGACAAGGUCAGGCACGUGCUGGGCCUGCUUGGCCUUGCUGUGAAAGAUGCUUCCCACCGUUCAGUUUCUUGUUAUUCUACAGUUUUGUUAGUUGCUGAGACAGUCCCCAGGGAGCCUGCUCCCCAUGGGCCCCUCUCUUGCCAUGACACCCAUUGCUACCCCACACAGCACCUCCCAUUCAUGUCAGUGCAGCACACCACGUAGCCUCAUUGGAUGGGUUCUGAGAACAAGCAUGCACAUGCUGGCAUAAUCCCGAAGCCCAAGGACCAGGAUUUGCAUGCUAAUGUGAGGAAGAGAUCUUGGGACGAGCGGUGACCACAGGCCUCCAUGCAAGGACCUUGGCGCAUGCAGAGGUGCUCGCCAGAGGCAGCUUGGGGACUACUCCCUGCACAAGCUGCAAUGCCGAGCAGCUGUAGCCCUGCCCGAGCAGGCUCCUUGAGCUGGGUUACAAGUUUUAUCUGAGGUCCCCUGAGUCCCAGGGCAGCCCCACACCUCCCCCCAGUGGCACACAGCCAAUUGCAGCUUACUCAACACACCGCCAUGAUCCCCAUGUCUUACACCACGGUCUCCAGGAGUCAGCAGCAGAGACUGGUAGUGCCCUGGGCUAGAAUCCCUGCUUCCAGGCCACUCCAGCUGGGAAAGACCCUUCUCUCUGUGCCUCUCUGAGUCCGCUGGGGCUGGGCUGCAGAUGGACAGUGAUGGAACCACAGCUUACUGUGGUUAGCUCCCUGCACAGAAUUCUGGCUACAGGGCCAAAGGGAUGGUGUGGGAUUUCCCUGACACCUUCUCCCCAGUACACAACUAGGGGCUCGUCCACCAGAAUUUCAGCUCAGGUGUCAGUUAGCAGUUCCCUGCAAAAGCAGAUGCUGGGGAGACAGUAACUCCCUGGCCUAGCACAGAGCUGGCCAGAGCUUUGUGUUUAUUGGACUUUAGGGUAGUUUCCAGUUAGGGCAUCACUGGGGUUCCUUGCAUGACCGUCUGAGCACCCAGGAGCAGUCAGAGCGCUGUGUACAGGACAGAGCAAAUCUGAGCCUCCACACUUUUAUGGUUCAACAAUAAAAUUAUUU
rnacentral:lncRNA from 1 species